UGAACGCUGGCGGCGUGCCUAACACAUGCAAGUCGAACGGAGUCCAGCCUUAGAGACCUUCGGGUCAAAGAGGGGAAGACUGAGUGGCGGACGGGUGAGUAACACGUGGGCAACCUGGCUCAUAGAGGGGGAUAACAGAGAGAAAUUUCUGCUAAUACCGCAUAAGCACACACUGCCGCAUGGCAGAGUGUGAAAAGAGAAUCGCUAUGAGAUGGACCCGCGUCUGAUUAGCCAGUUGGCAGGGUAAGAGCCUACCAAAGCGACGAUCAGUAGCCGAUUUGAGAGGAUGAACGGCCACAUUGGGACUGAGACACGGCCCAAACUCCUACGGGAGGCAGCAGUGGGGGAUAUUGCACAAUGGGGGGAACCCUGAUGCAGCGACGCCGCGUGAGUGAAGAAGUAUUUCGGUAUGUAAAGCUCUAUCAGCAGGGAAGAUAAUGACAGUACCUGAAGAAGAAGCCCCGGCUAACUACGUG
rnacentral:rRNA from 1 species